CCUGGGUCCUGACUGAGGGUCCUGACCGAGGACCCUGUCCCUGGCUUUGGACACUGUGGCCCAUGGCAGGGACUCGGAGGUUAGGCCACAUCACAGCUGGCACCAGGAGCUAAACUGAGGAUAACAUGGGCCCGUGUGGGACUUCUGAAGCAGCCUCUUCUAGAAGCCUCAGAGCUGCAGCACUUUAGAGCUGUGUGCCCUCAGGUGAAGUUUGCCCACUUCUGGACUUUAUAUUCAUGGAUGUGCUCUUUUGUGUCUGGCUUCUUCCACUGGAUGCGAUGUUUGUGAGAUUCACCGAUAUUGUCCCAGGC